rnacentral:rRNA from 1 species
AGAGUUUGAUCCUGGCUCAGGAUGAACGCUAGCGACAGGCUUAACACAUGCAAGUCGAGGGGCAGCACAAUGUAGCAAUACACGGGUGGCGACCGGCGCACGGGUGAGUAACGCGUAUGCAACUUGCCUAUCAGAGGGGGAUAACCCGUCGAAAGACGGACUAAUACCGCAUGAAACAGGGGCCCCGCAUGGGGAUAUUUGUUAAAGAAAAUCGCUGAUAGAUAGGCAUGCGUUCCAUUAGGUAGUUGGCGGGGCAACGGCCCACCAAGCCGACGAUGGAUAGGGGUUCUGAGAGGAAGGUCCCCCACACUGGUACUGAGACACGGACCAGACUCCUACGGGAGGCAGCAGUGAGGAAUAUUGGUCAAUGGGCGAGAGCCUGAACCAGCCAAGUCGCGUGAGGGAUGACGGCCCUACGGGUUGUAAACCUCUUUUAUAAGGGAAUAAAGGACAUCACGUGUGGUGUUUUGCAUGUACCUUAUGAAUAAGCAUCGGCUAACUCCGUGCCAGCAGCCGCGGUAAUACGGAGGAUGCGAGCGUUAUCCGGAUUCAUUGGGUUUAAAGGGUGCGUAGGUCGCCGAUUAAGUCAGCGGUGAAAGUCAGUGGCUCAACCAUUGAACUGCCGUUGAAACUGGUUGGCUUGAGUACGUACGGGGCAGGCGGAAUGCGUGGUGUAGCGGUGAAAUGCAUAGAUAUCACGCAGAACCCCGAUCGCGAAGGCAGCCUGCCAGGCCGUGACUGACACUGAUGCACGAAAGCGUGGGUAUCGAACAGGAUUAGAUACCCUGGUAGUCCACGCAGUAAACGAUGAUCACUAGCUGUUUGCGA